AGGAAAAAGAAACAUCCGGCUCCAAGUGAGAAAGAUGGAUCGGAGAAUGUAAAAAUACAACCACGAGACCUGAAAAUAGCAUGGGGCUCCGAUGACACUCAGUGGAAAAUUGAGAAACCAAACGAAGAGGAAGGGAGCUAUGCAGAAGCAAUCAAAGUGACGUGGCUUGAAGUAAAAGCAACAUAUAAGGGGGCAAAAGCAGGGAGCAAAUAUAGGA
rnacentral:misc_RNA from 1 species